rnacentral:rRNA from 2 species
ACGGGGUGCAGCAGGCGCGAAACCUUUGCAAUGUGCGAAAGCACGACAAGGUUAAUCCGAGUGUCUCCUGCUAAAGGAGUCUUUUGUCAGUUGUAGAAUCACUGAUGAAUAAGGGGUGGGCAAGUUCUGGUGUCAGCCGCCGCGGUAAAACCAGCACCUCGAGUGGUCAGGAGGUUUAUUGGGCCUAAAGCAUCCGUAGCCGGUUGCAUAAGUUUUCGGUUAAAUCUAUGCGCUCAACGUAUAGGCCACCGAAAAUACUGUGCAGCUAGGGAGUGGGAGAGGUACACGGUACUCAAUAGAAAGGGGUAAAAUCCUUUGAUCUAUUGAUGACCACCUGUGGCGAAGGCGGUGUACCAGAACACGUUCGACGGUGAGGGAUGAAAGCUGGGGGAGCAAACCGGAUUAGAUACCCGGGUAGUCCCAGCUGUAAACUAUGCAAACUCAGUGAUGCAUUGGCUUGUGGCCAAUGCAGUGCUGCAGGGAAGCCGUUAAGUUUGCCGCCUGGGAAGUACGUACGCAAGUAUGAAACUUAAAGGAAUUGGCGGGGGAGCAC